UUGAACUGAAGAGUUUGAUCCUGGCUCAGAUUGAACGCUGGCGGCAUGCCUUACACAUGCAAGUCGAACGGCAGCACGGGCUUCGGCCUGGUGGCGAGUGGCGAACGGGUGAGUAAUACAUCGGAACAUGUCCUGUAGUGGGGGAUAGCCCGGCGAAAGCCGGAUUAAUACCGCAUACGAUCUACGGAUGAAAGCGGGGGACCUUCGGGCCUCGCGCUAUAGGGUUGGCCGAUGGCUGAUUAGCUAGUUGGUGGGGUAAAGGCCUACCAAGGCGACGAUCAGUAGCUGGUCUGAGAGGACGACCAGCCACACUGGGACUGAGACACGGCCCAGACUCCUACGGGAGGCAGCAGUGGGGAAUUUUGGACAAUGGGGGCAACCCUGAUCCAGCAAUGCCGCGUGUGUGAAGAAGGCCUUCGGGUUGUAAAGCACUUUUGUCCGGAAAGAAAUCCUUGGCCCUAAUAUGGCCGGGGGAUGACGGUACCGGAAGAAUAAGCACCGGCUAACUACGUGCCAGCAGCCGCGGUAAUACGUAGGGUGCGAGCGUUAAUCGGAAUUACUGGGCGUAAAGCGUGCGCAGGCGGUUUGCUAAGACCGAUGUGAAAU
rnacentral:rRNA from 1 species